rnacentral:rRNA from 1 species
UACGAAGGGGGCUAGCGUUGUUCGGAAUUACUGGGCGUAAAGCGUGCGCAGGCGGCUUCUCAAGUCAGGGGUGAAAGCCCAGAGCUCAACUCUGGAAUUGCCUUUGAGACUGAGUGGCUUGAGUACGAGAGAGGUGAGUGGAAUUCCCAGUGUAGAGGUGAAAUUCGUAGAUAUCAGGAAGAACACCCGUGGCGAAGGCGGCUCUCUGGGACGGUACUGACGCUGAGACGCGAAAGCGUGGGGAGCGAACAGG